GCCAGGCAUGGUGGCUCAUGCCUGUAAUCCCAGCUCUUUGGGAGGCUGAGGUGGGAGGCUGGCUUGAGCCCAGGAGUUCAAGACCAGCCUGGGCAACAAAGCAAGACUCCAUCUGUA
rnacentral:SRP_RNA from 1 species